GCCUGUGUGGCUCAGUUGGUUAAGAGCCUGACUUUUGAUGUCAGCUCAGGUCACAAUCUCAGGGUGAGUGGGAUCAAAUCCUGCAUCAGGCU
rnacentral:tRNA from 1 species